rnacentral:rRNA from 1 species
CCUGAUGCAGCCAUGCCGCGUGAGUGAUGAAGGCCCUAGGGUUGUAAAACUCUUUCAGUGGUGAAGAUAAUGACGGUAACCACAGAAGAAGCCCCGGCUAACUCCGUGCCAGCAGCCGCGGUUAUACGGAGGGGGCUAGCGUUGUUCGGAAUUACUGGGCGUAAAGCGCACGUAUGCGGACUGAUCAGUUGGGGGUGAAAGCCCGGAGCUCAACUCCGGAACUGCCUCCAAUACUGUCAGUCUCGAGUCCGAGAGAGGUGAGUGGAAUUUCCAGUGUAGAGGUGAAAUUCGUAGAUAUUGGAAAGAACACCAGUGGCGAAGGCGGCUCACUGGCUCGGUACUGACGCUGAGGUGCGAAAGUGUGGUGAGCAAACAGGAUUAGAUACCCUGGUAGUCCACACCGUAAACGAUGGAUGCUAGCUGUCGGGCAGCAUGCUGUUCGGUGACGCAGCUAACGCAUUAAGCAUCCCGCCUGGGGAGUACGGUCGCAAGAUUAAAACUCAAAGGACUUGGACGGA